GAUUUCUGGCUUGUAACAACUUAUCGGCCACGGUUUCGUGUGUUAGUGUAGGUUGUUCUUGCCAUCCUUCCAAUCGCUGCGUGCUUUUCUUCAUUGAUUAGUGCGUGGUAUUGGAUCUUUUACUUUGAAAAAAUUAGAGUGUUUCAAGCAGGCUUUAUGCUAUGAAUACAUUAGCAUGGAAUAAUAAUUUAGGACUUCGGUUCUAUUUUGUUGGUUUCUAGGACUGAAGUAAUGAUUGAUAGGGAUAGUUGGGGGUGCUAGUAUUCAGCGGCCAGAGGUGAAAUUCUCGGAUUCGCUGAAGACUAACUUAUGCGAAAGCAUU
rnacentral:rRNA from 1 species